AGCUGGAUAAAUCUCUCUCUAUAACCCAUGCAAAUAAAAGAUCUUCGGUGUCUUUGAUCAUUCUCAAGAGUAUAAAGAAGUUCUGAAGGCAAAAAGUAAGAGCCACUGGCUUCGAGUAAAAGUCCCACCACCUUCAGGAAAACUGUCUAACCAUUCGAUUGGGGGGACACGGGUUCGAGCCCUGGUCUGGGAAGAUCCCACAUGCCACGGAGCAACUGGGCCCGUGAGCCACAACUACUGAGCCUGCGCGUCUGGAGCCUGUGCUCCGCAACAAGAGACACUGCAAUAGUGAGAGGCCCGCGCACCGCGAUGAAGAGUGGCCCCCGCUUGCCACAACUAGAGAAAGCCCUCGCACAGAAACGAAGACCCAACACAGCCAAAAAUAAAUAAAUUAAUUAAAAAUAAAAUAAAAUAAAAACAAAUGUUCAAGUACAA